rnacentral:rRNA from 1 species
UCAGCAGCCGCGGUAAUACGUAGGUGGCGAGCGUUGUCCGGAAUUACUGGGUGUAAAGGGCGUGUAGGUGGGUGAACAAGUCAGUUGUGAAAUACCGAGGCUUAACCUUGGGGGUGCAACUGAGACUGUACAUCUUGAGUACUGGAGAGGGAAGCGGAAUUCCUAGUGUAGCGGUGAAAUGCGUAGAUAUUAGGAGGAACACCAGUGGCGAAGGCGGCUUUCUGGACAGAGACUGACACUGAGGCGCGAAAGCGUGGGGAGCAAACAGGAUUAGAUACCCUGGUAGUCCACGCUGUAAACGAUGGAUACUAGGUGUAGGUGGUAUGAAACCAUCUGUGCCGGAGUUAACACAAUAAGUAUCCCACCUGGGGAGUACGGCCGCAAGGUUGAAACUUAAAGGAAUUGGCGGGGGAC